CAGAGGGUGCGAGCGUUAAUCGGAUUUACUGGGCGUAAAGCGUGCGUAGGCGGCUUAUUAAGUCGGAUGUGAAAUCCCCGAGCUUAACUUGGGAAUUGCAUUCGAUACUGGUGAGCUAGAGUAUGGGAGAGGAUGGUAGAAUUCCAGGUGUAGCGGUGAAAUGCGUAGAGAUCUGGAGGAAUACCGAUGGCGAAGGCAGCCAUCUGGCCUAAUACUGACGCUGAGGUACGAAAGCU
rnacentral:rRNA from 1 species